rnacentral:rRNA from 1 species
UGAGGAAUAUUGGGCAAUGGGCGCAAGCCUGACCCAGCCAUGCCGCGUGAAGGAUGAAGGCUCUACGAGUCGUAAACUUCUUUUCUACGGGAAUAAACUCUUGUACGUGUACAGGAUUGAAUGUACUGUAGGAAUAAGCAUCGGCUAACUCCGUGCCAGCAGCCGCGGUAAUACGGAGGAUGCAGGCGUUAUCCGGAUUUAUUAGGUUUAAAGGGUGCGUAGGUGGCUCGAUAAGUCAGUGGUGAAAGCCUACAGCUUAACUGUAGAACUGCCAUUGAAACUGCCGAGCUUGAAUUUGGUUGAGGUAGGCGGAAUGUGUAAUGUAGCGGUGAAAUGCAUAGAUAUUACACAGAACACCAAUUGCGAAGGCAGCUUGCUAAACCAUGAUUGACACUGAGGCACGAAAGCGUGGGGAUCAAACAGG